rnacentral:rRNA from 1 species
GACGAACGCUGGCGGCGUGCUUAACACAUGCAAGUCGAACGGAAAGGCCCUGCUUUUGUGGGGUGCUCGAGUGGCGAACGGGUGAGUAACACGUGAGUAACCUGCCCUUGACUUUGGGAUAACUUCAGGAAACUGGGGCUAAUACCGGAUAGGAGCUCCUGCUGCAUGGUGGGGGUUGGAAAGUUUCGGCGGUUGGGGAUGGACUCGCGGCUUAUCAGUGUGUUGGUGGGGUAGUGGCUUACCAAGGCUUUGACGGGUAGCCGACAUGAGAGGGUGACCGGGCACAUAGGGAAUACGGUAGCGACAAGCCGCGAAGGGGGGGAAAGGGGGGAGAUUUUGACAGAGGGACGGAGAGCUAUUGCAGGAGGCCCCGGGUGGGGAAGAACUUGUUUGGGUUUUAAACCGUUUUUCACAGUGGAAAGGGGGGGAGGUAAGGGUAUGUGUAAAGAAAGCCCCGCUAACUACGGC